rnacentral:sRNA from 1 species
UACAAACUAAAUAGUAACGGGGAGAGA